GAGGCACGAAGGCUGGGGGAUCGAACAGGAUUAGAUACCCUGGUAGUCCCAGCAGUAAACGAUGUGAGCUUGAUGUGGGGGGAUUCGACCCCUUCCGUGUCGAAGCUAACGCGAUAAGCUCACCGCCUGAGGAGUACGGCCGCAAGGCUAAAACUCAAAGAAAUUGACGGGGACCCGCACAAGCGGUGGAGUAUGUGGCUUAAUUCGAUGCAACGCGAAGAACCUUACCUGGCCUUGACAUGCAUUGUGUCGUCGGUGAAAGCCGGCUAGUCCUGGAAACAGGACGCUUUGCACAGGUGCUGCAUGGCUGUCGUCAGCUCGUGUCGUGAGAUGUUGGGUUAAGUCCCGCAACGAGCGCAACCCUUGUGGUCAGUUACUAACCGGCUUAACCGGAGGACUCUGGCCAGACUGCCCUGUCAAACGGGGAGGAAGGUGGGGACGACGUCAAGUCAGUAUGGCCCUUAUGGCCAGGGCUGCACACGUACUACAAUGCCCGGUACAAUGUGAACCGAAACCGCGAGGUGGAGGAAAUCGCUCUUGAAAACCGGGCCCAGUUCGGAUUGGAGUCUGCAACUCGACUCCAUGAAGUCGGAAUCGCUAGUAAUGGCGUAUCAGCAACGACGCCGUGAAUACGUUCCCGGGUCUUGUACACACCGCCCGUCACAUCAUGGAAGUCUCCUGUAC
rnacentral:rRNA from 1 species